GACAGGAAAUAGUUAUUAAUUGUUGUGCUCAAUAGCACAGUAACAAUGCUCUUUUAGAAACUUUCUUUUCUUGGUGAUAUAGUUCUGAAAAUAGCUGGUAGAUUACAGCCUGGAAAGUAUGGCUUUCAGAACAGUGGUGCCUGGAAGCAAAGGAUCAAUACAUACUUCAAGGAGCUUUACUUGGGUGUACUUUUUUAAGCUAAGUAAACAGAUGAGAUCUGAGGCCAGAAUAGUCAGAGAUACAGCUAAAGAGAUUUAAAUAUGCUUUACUUUCAGCUGGAGUUUUUAGAUGGGGCUCAAACUUGAGCAGGCUCUGAGGGAUGCAGGCCACUCCAGCUGUAUCCCAAUGUUUGCAUUUCCAGUUCAUUACUGCAUAGAAUACUACUGACUUUCUCUUGUUCAAGCAAUGUAAUGUAAGGGAAGUCUGGGCUGUUAACUGUCAAGAACUGUAAGAUCUUGGACAUAUUAAUUACAGUGUAUCUGAAAUAAGGGCAUUUGAUGUAACUAAUGUGAAACUGAUGCUUUUAGGAACAGGUGGUAUUUUGAAGGAAUCCAAAACAAUAUUGCCAAUGGUGAGAAACCAUUUCUGACAAGUCAGAAGACACACCUGCAACGUUCCGGGCUGAAGCAGAAAGAACAACCUCUAGAAAUACAAGAUGGGAAAGCUCCGAGAACGUUCCACAGCACAGAAAGAAGAGAACAGAACGACUGUGAAGUGCAGGAAACCUGAGCAGCAUUUCCUCGAAGAAAAGGCUGAGUUGUGCAGUGUACAGAAGUGAGGAUAUUCCCUGAAGAAGCAGCAACUGUUUUUGAGAUAUCAGUCCACUCGGAUUAGAUCUUUUUGCAUGGAUCUGAAAGCUAAUGAAUCUUUGAGGAAGCUUCAGUCAGCAUUAUCCCUCUGUAUUGCAAACGACGUAUUGGAUCUUCAAGCUGUUGUGGGUGGGUGAACAGCUCUUCUGCGCUGUUGAUGAAAGGGAUCUGCAACAAAUACCCUCAAAAGAAAUGCCUGCCCAAAACAACAUGAAAGUUCAACAUUACAAGAUUAGAAAUAAAGUGAAAGAAGAGAAGCCUUUGAUUUUCAAAGCAGCAACGAUCUCUGUGUCAUAACAUAAAAGAGUUUGUUCAAUUUCCUUUGGAUUCUAAGCACCGAGGAGAAACAUGACAGACUUAACUCAUGUUGUAGAUGCCUGCUGUUUGGAGGUGCACACACUGGCAGCUGUUUUUGAGGAGGUAGAACUGAACAAAAGAGUUCGUUAAGAGGGGACCUUCAAAGAUCACCAAGUUCAACUGCUGAACCACUUCAGGGCUAAGCAAAAGUUACAAUAAUUGCCUAUUUUUACAGGCAGCCCGUGCAGUGUUUAAUGCACGCUGAGCUGCAGUUUGCCCUGUUGGCUGCCCAGUGCUCCAAUCUAUCCUAGAUCCCUCUGCUUGGCCUCUCAUCCCUCUAGGCAGUCACCAGCACCUCCCAGUUUCAUGUUGUCGACAAAGGUGCUGAGGCUGUAUUCCAAUCCUGCAUCAGGAUUGGUCACUGUCACAUGUCACUGAGAAAAAGGUUGAACAGAACCAAGGCCGUGGAGCUGCUGUGUGAAGCAUCCUUGUGUCUUGGAGGAGAACUGAGGUGGGACAAUAGCUAGUUAAGUUCUUGCGCAAGUUCUCCUGUGGGAGUGGUACUUAUGUGUGGUGGUGGCAUGUGGGCCUUGCUCUUCGUAUUAUGUGAGGAAGGUAUCUUGUAUCUGUUAAUUAGGACUGCAGAGCUGAGGACACUCCUCAGGCUAUUUCUGCGUGCAUUCGAUUGUGUAUUUAUGCACCAGCUCUCUAAAGGAAAGCUGCUACCACUUACAAAGAGAUUUCUUGAGAACUUAAGGAUAAUGAAUGUUUUACCUGAUGUCAAAAUGACCUUUUGACAUCAUCUUUUAUAUCAUCUCAGCUACAGUUUGUUUAUGGUACAAGCCUUGUUUUGAUUUCAGCAGCAUAUCUGAAGCAGCACAGUAAUUGUAGGAUGGAUCAUGUGAGCCAUGUUCACAUUUUCUGAAGCACUUUAUGAAGCACAAAAAACACCUGAGUGUUCUUGGAUUCCUAGUAAUAACUUUACUUGAAAACUGUUCAAUAUUGUUAUAAUAAACAAGUACAUAAAUUAUUCUACUGGUCUGAGAUGCAAGUGAAAGACUAUGAUAGUCACCUUGUCUGCAGGCUAUGUGACAUGUCUAGUCUUGGGCUGUGCUUACACAGACUACUGUUGCUUGUAGAAUAAUGGUUUUAUUUUUCUGUAUGGCUGUCUGCAGGCAAAGCUAACAAACUCCAAUGAGAAUUUGAGAAUAUAGG
rnacentral:lncRNA from 7 species